rnacentral:rRNA from 1 species
UACGGGGGGGGCAAGCGUUGUUCGGAAUUACUGGGCGUAAAGGGCUCGUAGGCGGCCAACUAAGUCAGACGUGAAAAUCCCUCAGCUUAACUGGGGAACUGCGUCUGAUACUGGAUGGCUAGAGAUUGGGAGAGGGAUGCGGAAUUCCAGGUGUAGCGGUGAAAUGCGUAGAUAUCUGGAGGAACACCGGUGGCGAAGGCGGCAUCCUGGACCAACACUGACGCUGAGGAGGCGAAAGCCAGGGGAGCAAACGGG